GACGAACGCUGGCGGCGUGCUUAACACAUGCAAGUCGAACGCUGAAGCUCAGCUUUUGUUGGGUGGAUGAGUGGCGAACGGGUGAGUAACACGUGAGUAACCUGCCUCCUUCUUUGGGAUAACGCCCGGAAACGGGUGCUAAUACUGGAUAUUCACUGGUCUUCGCAUGGGGGUUGGUGGAAAGGGUUUUUCUGGUGGGGGAUGGGCUCGCGGCCUAUCAGCUUGUUGGUGGGGUGAUGGCCUACCAAGGCUUUGACGGGUAGCCGGCCUGAGAGGGUGACCGGUCACAUUGGGACUGAGCUACGGCCCAGACUCCUACGGGAGGCAGCAGUGGGGACUAUUGCACAAUGGGCGCAAGCCUGAUGCAGCGACGCCGCGUGAGGGAUGGGGGCCUUCGGGUUGUGAACCUCUUUCGCUCAUGGUCAAGCCGCAACAAUGGUUGUGGUGAGGGUAGUGGGUAAAGAAGCGCCGGCUAACUACGUG
rnacentral:rRNA from 1 species